rnacentral:lncRNA from 1 species
GUGGUCGCCGAGCUUCUCUCCCUUCAAUCCAGAUCCAAAUCUGGCGUCAUUCACUUCAACGACCAAUCCCUUUCUCGUUUCAUCUCUUCCGUCAAAACCCCUCGUCCCUAUUCUCUUCUCUUCUUCUUCGACGCCGUGCACCUCCACGACAAAUCGGAGCUCCACCUCCUCGAACUCCUCAAAGAAUUCAACCUCGUUUCAUCUUCUUUCAUCGCCAACAAUAUCGAUAACCCUGACGCUAUCAGUAAGAUCUUCUUCUGUCACAUUGAAUUCAAAGAAUCUCAAUUCAGUUUCUCACAAUUCGGCGUCAACACUCUCCCUCAUAUUCGCAUUGUGGGACCCAAUCAGGGUUUCAAGGAUUCAGAAGUAAUGGAGCAGGGUGAUUUCUCUCGUUUUCCUGAAUCAUUGGUUGAAUUUAUUGAAUCGAAAACGAAACUCUCUGUGGGACCCGUCGUUCGACCUCCUUUUCUAUCUAGAAACCAGAUCAUUCUCAUUGUGCUUGGGAUCUUGGCUUGGAUUCCGUUUUAUGCGAAAAGAGUUAUCGCGGGUAGAACUCUGUUUCAUGACCCGAAAGUUUGGCUAGCGGGUUCUGUGUUUGUUUACUUUUUCAGUGUUUCUGGUUCUAUGCAUAAUAUCAUAAGGAAGAUGCCGAUGUUUCUCGCGGAUCGCAAUGAUCCGUCGAAGAUUGUGUUCUUUUACCAGGGCUCAGGGAUGCAGCUCGGCGCAGAGGGUUUUACUAUUGGAUUUUUGUACACUGUUGUGGGUUUGUUGUUGGCUUUUUUGACACAGGGGCUUGUGAAGUUGAACAAUGUGGCUGUGCAGAGGGUUGCUAUGAUUUUCGCGCUGUUGGUUUCGUUCUUGGCUGUUAAACAGGUUGUGUUUUUGGACAAUUGGAAGACAGGUUAUGGGAUUCAUGGAUUUUGGCCUUCUGGUUGGAAUUGAGGUUUGCCAUUAUCAUACGAUUUCGUUUGUUUUCAUCUUUCAAUGGAUAAUUAUAAACUUUAGGAAGAAUGCUUUAUGUUAAGACUCUGCCAGGAAUAUAUGUAACUUGUUACUGCCCUUUUUGUGGUGCACUUGAAUUUUAGACAAUUUUACGUUAUAAAGUUGAAUGUCUGCCUUUUGAUUAUAAUCCAGGGGUGUCUAUUUUGUUUGGACUUGUUAUGUUUCAUGUAGGAAUUGGAUACUGUUGCGUUGCAUGUUCGUAUAAAUGUUCUUCUGAAUUGAUUGUUAUACCGUUACUUGUUAAUCAUGCUCUUAAAACUGAAUAUACAUAGACCUGUACUGUUGUGCCAGUGUGUGAUGGAUAUUGAAGUAGUUUAUAGGAUUUGGAUGGUUUGAUUGUGUAGGGUGUAUCCAGGGAUGACAAAAUCAAUUGUUUUUUGUUUAAUAAAUUCUGCACAAAAUGUUAAGUGGCCAUGGAUCCCCAAGUAAAUGUGAAUAUGCGAUAAAUGAUUUCAUUUAAAAAAAAUCCGCACUUUUUUGUGUUUAUGUACAUGUUUUGAUAUCAUAUCAAUUAAGCUCAAGUAUUAAGGUAUACGGAUCUCAAGUAACUUAAAUCAUAACAUUUCUUUUUAAUUUUCAAUUCCAUUGGGGGAAAAUGGUUCAUCUGGAGGACUUUUUUUCUUCUUUUGGGGUUAAACACAUGGAUCAAGUUGCUGUAUUUGACUCACCUCAUCCUUAUUUAAUAUUUCAUCUAUAAUAGUCUUGGUCUUUAUUUGUUCUACUAAUCCUAGCCAUAUGUAAAUUAUCAAUUAAAAAUUCUUGAUAGUUUAAUUUAGUUGGUUAAUUUAUCACGCAUAAUAGAAGUAAGUGUUUCAGUUAAAAUCUUCAAAAAUUUUAUAUUUCCAUGAUGAAAUAAGGUAAUGAAGGGGCUAAUAAAUGAAAAAUAACUUUUUAGUUCAUAAGCCUAGCUUAUAAUUCUUAUUUUUAUAACUAAAAUAUCCCUAAAUAAUUAUUUCCUUUCAAAGUAUAAUUAACAGCACGUUGGUCUAAUAACAUAAAACAACAUUACAUCUCAAAAUCAAAUAUUUGAUUUCUGAGAGCCAACACUUAUUACGAAGGAAGUCGUAGUUAAGAUUAGUUCCAUACUCUUGGUCGUGCCAGGAAUCGGACUUUUAACCUGGUCCUAUAGUUUAUAAGUCUUCUUCACAGAGAGAACUCACAGAACAAAACCUUGUUCAUUUCUAUUUCUCCCAACAACGACAAUGGCUUUCUCUCAGAAGCUCUCACUCCUCUUCCUCCUAAUCGCUCUCUCCUCCUUCUCCUCCACCACUUCCGAUUCAAACGACGACGUGGUCGCCGAGCUUCUCUCCCUUCAAUCCAGAUCCAAAUCUGGCGUCAUUCACUUCAACGACCAAUCCCUUUCUCGUUUCAUCUCUUCCGUCAAAACCCCUCGUCCCUAUUCUCUUCUCUUCUUCUUCGACGCCGUGCACCUCCACGACAAAUCGGAGCUCCACCUCCUCGAACUCCUCAAAGAAUUCAACCUCGUUUCAUCUUCUUUCAUCGCCAACAAUAUCGAUAACCCUGACGCUAUCAGUAAGAUCUUCUUCUGUCACAUUGAAUUCAAAGAAUCUCAAUUCAGUUU